GGAAAUAAUAGCUCAGUGGUACGGCAUCUGUUUUGCAUGCAGAAGGUCCCAGGUUCUACCCCCUGCAUCUCCA